rnacentral:rRNA from 1 species
CCUACGGGGGGCAGCAGUGAGGAAUAUUGGUCAAUGGACGAGAGUCUGAACCAGCCAAGUAGCGUGAAGGAUGACUGCCCUAUGGGUUGUAAACUUCUUUUAUAUGGGAAUAAAAUGUUCCACGUGUGGGAUUUUGUAUGUACCAUAUGAAUAAGGAUCGGCUAACUCCGUGCCAGCAGCCGCGGUAAUACGGAGGAUCCGAGCGUUAUCCGGAUUUAUUGGGUUUAAAGGGAGCGUAGGUGGAUUGUUAAGUCAGUUGUGAAAGUUUGCGGCUCAACCGUAAAAUUGCAGUUGAAACUGGCAGGCUUGAGUACAGUAGAGGUGGGCGGAAUUCGUGGUGUAGCGGUGAAAUGCUUAGAUAUCACGAAGAACUCCGAUUGCGAAGGCAGCUCACUGGACUGCAACUGACACCGAGGCUCGAAAGUGUGGGUAUCAAACAGGAUUAGAUACCCCGGUAGUC